GAUGAAGAACGUAGCGAAAUGCGAUAAGUAAUGUGAAUUGCAGAAUUCAGUGAAUCAUCGAAUCUUUGAACGCACAUUGCGCCCGCCAGUAUUCUGGCGGGCAUGCCUGUUCGAGCGUCAUUUCAACCAUCAAGCCCUGCUUGCGUUGGGGUCCUGCGGCUGCCCGCAGGCCCUGAAAACCAGUGGCGGGCUCGCUAGUCACACCGAGCGCAGUAAUACAUCUCGCUUUGGGCGUGCGGCGGGUUCUUGCCGUUAAACACCCCCUUUUUACCAAGGUUGACCUCGGAUCAGGUAGGAAUACCCGCUGAACUUAAGCAUAUAAUAAGCGGAGGA
rnacentral:misc_RNA from 1 species